rnacentral:lncRNA from 1 species
AAACACUCACUAUCCUAAGGAAAAAUUGCCUAAAAUUAUUACACACAAAUGGAAGUUUGGUAACCUAUUGAAGGCUCCCAACACACUUCCAAUGAAAGGCCUUUUUGUUACAAAAACUUGAAAGCAAUGAAGGUAAGUAAAUUGAAAAUUACAAAAUUACAAAACGGUCCUCAAUUUUGGUGGUUGUUCUCUCUUUGGUGAUUCACUCAAUUUGGAGUGCUUCUUAGUCCAAUAGCUCUUAAGGUGGUUGGCCCCUUGCUUCUGGACUCAAAUUCUUCAAGGGAUGGCACCAAUCCUCC